rnacentral:rRNA from 1 species
UACGGAGGGUGCAAGCGUUAUCCGGAUUUAUUGGGUUUAAAGGGUGCGUAGGCGGCCUAUUAAGUCAGGGGUGAAAUACGGUGGCUCAACCAUCGCAGUGCCUUUGAUACUGAUGGGCUUGAAUCCAUUUGAAGUGGGCGGAAUAAGACAAGUAGCGGUGAAAUGCAUAGAUAUGUCUUAGAACUCCGAUUGCGAAGGCAGCUCACUAAGCUGGUAUUGACGCUGAUGCACGAAAGCGUGGGGAUCGAACAGG